AAUAAAAAAACGAAUUAUAAGCUGUAAAAAUUUACAAAAACCCUGAAAGCUUGUCUUGUAUCAGAUCUAUCAUACAGUUUUACUUGCAAUCAAGCUGACCAGAGCACAUAUUAGAGUGUGUAGAAUUUUCAGUACCUAUAUCUAUUAAUCAUUGUAGCCAGUGUGUUUUAAGCGCAUGUUGGGCCAGUUUUUCACUCUAAGAGCCUUGUAUUCAUGAAAUUUAGUCAAGAGAUGAAAGCACACUAUUUUACUUAAAUUGUUGCUUGCUUGGUUUUGCAUCUAGGAAGUACUUGUUUUUUUUUUUUUUUUUGGAUAGCCUAAUUAAAGUUUAAGAUUUCUUUUAAGCAAGAAUAAAGAAAUACUUGUAGUUAAAAGACUGAUGCUUUUAUGCAAUGAGUUCUAGCUCAAACGUCAUCUUCUUUUUCCAUAAUACAACAAGGUACAGCUUUCUAUAAGUAACGAGGUAGAGGGUAUAGUCAUGAGUUCAAAACUCAGUUGUGAAUUCGGAAGAAGAGUUUGCAUCACUUUGUUGAACGCAUUCAGUACUACACAUCAUCGUUUCAUAUGGGGUCUGGUACAUUAUGUCUCAUUUGGACAAGUUGGGAGUUAACUUGAGUAGUUUGUGCUUUCCUUUAAAAAUCCAUGACCUGCAUUGACAUUCUUGUACUUGUUUUCAGGUAUCUCACUUACAAUGGAUCAGUGGAAUGUACUCCGGGAUCAUGUUGAAGUAAUUGAGAAGGCGGUUAAUGAGAAGUAAUUGAGAAGGCGGUUAAUGAGAACUCUUAGGGCUUUUUGUUGUUGAUAUUACUAGAGAAAAUAUUAGCCUGUAGGCGUCUUCUUUUGUUGGUGGUGACCAGAAACUUGGAUCAAGCAGUGAUGUUUUGUGUUCUACCUAGAGAUGAUAACUGGGUUGACGUUACUGACUUUGUGAUUGGAGAUAUGGAAGUGAACCCCUGACUAAUGUUUGUAAUUACUUAAAUAUUUUAAACAAUAGUUCUUCUAUGUUUCAA